rnacentral:lncRNA from 1 species
UUGAAAAGAAUUUCGAAGUAAAAGACUAUGUUUUACUCCGAAACUGGGGGGCAUGUGUUGACGCCAGAUUUCGUCACUAGUGAAAUCGGCGUCAGGAGGAGAGGAAAUGGGAAAGUACAGUUGGAGAUCGGUUGGUUGGCACUACAGUCCAAGAUCGGCUAGAUGCUACAGUACGGGAUCGGCCGAUGAUUUCUGCCUUGCUUAACCCUUGGGGUUCGGAUCGGACACGUCUGAUUCCCGAAUCGGUUACCCUUUGCCGAUAAGGAAUCAGCCGAUUAGGGGGCUGGAAUAAUUGGGCCGGUAUGGGCUUGGGAAGGAUCGGAAGGAUGAAGAGGAAAUCAGCCCAUGAAGUGUAUAAUAACCAACCUAGUAAGAAUCGUGCUUGUAAAUAUUUGUUUUCUAUUUGAAUUAGGGAUAGAGUUCUAAUCAGUUAAGGAGUCAUCUGUACGGGGCUAUAAAUAGCUACCUUUGUAAAUCUGUAAUCAUAAACAAAUCAAUACAACCAACUACUAUUUCCUCGUACUUACUUUCAAGCAGGCGACUUCGCCAAAUACUUUCUCCUUUUUCACGAGUUCGUACGGGUUGGCAGGGCUGCAUCAACUUGAUCUCCGGCCGAUCUUGUAAGUUCCGUUUACCGAGUAAAUUCUAAGCUUUA